GCAUAUCAAUAAGCGGAGGAAAAAGAAACCAACAGGGGAUUGCCCUAGUAACGGCGAGUGAAGCGGCAACAGCUCAAAUUUGAAAUCUGGCGCAAGCCCGAGUUGUAAUUUGUAGAGGAUGUUUCUGGCGACGUACCUUCCGAGUUCCCUGGAACGGGACGCCAUAGAGGGUGAGAGCCCCGUACGGUUGGUUGCCUAGCCUUUGUGAAACUCCUUCGACGAGUCGAGUAGUUUGGGAAUGCUGCUCUAAAUGGGAGGUAUACGUCUUCUAAAGCUAAAUACCGGCCAGAGACCGAUAGCGCACAAGUAGAGUGAUCGAAAGAUGAAAAGCACUUUGAAAAGAGGGUUAAAUAGUACGUGAAAUUGUUGAAAGGGAAGCGUUUAUGACCAGACUUGGGUAGGUUGAUCAUCCGUGGUUCUCCGCGGUGCACUCUGCCUGCCUAGGCCAGCAUCAGUUCAGUUCGGGGGAUAAAGGCUUCGGGAAUGUAGCUCCCUCGGGAGUGUUAUAGACCGUUGCGUAAUACCCUGAUCUGGACUGAGGUUCGCGCACUGCAAGGAUGCUGGCGUAAUGGUCAUCAGCGACCCGUCUUGAAACACGGACCAAGGAGUCGUCUUCGUAUGCGAGUGUUCGGGUGUCAAACCCCUACGCGUAAUGAAAGUGAACGUAGGAGAGAGCUUCGGCGCAUCUCCGACCGAUCCUGAUGUUCUCGGAUGGAUUUGAGUAAGAGCAUACGGGGCCGGACCCGAAAGAAGGUGAACUAUGCCUGUAUAGGGGUGAAGCCAGAGGAAAACUCUGGUGGAGGCUCGCAGCGGUUCUGACGUGCAAAUCGAUCGUCAAAUAUGGGCAUGGGGGGCGAAAGAGUAAUCGAAGCCUUACUAGAUAGCUGGAUUCAGUCUGAAG
rnacentral:rRNA from 1 species